rnacentral:rRNA from 1 species
UGGCGGUAGGCUUAACACAUGCAAGUCGUGCGAGAAAGUACCUUCGGGUGCGAGUAGAGCGGCGGACGGGUGAGUAACGCGUAGGAAUCUACCUAGUAGAAGGGGAUAGCCCGGGGAAACUCGGAUUAAUACCGUAUACCUCCUUAGGGAGAAAGAGGGCUUAGCUUUGAUGCUCUCGCUAUUAGAUGAGCCUGCGUAAGAUUAGCUUGUUGGUGAGGUAAUGGCUCACCAAGGCGACGAUCUUUAGCUGGUCUGAGAGGACGAUCAGCCACAUUGGGACUGAGACACGGCCCAGACUCCUACGGGAGGCAGCAGUGGGGAAUAUUGGACAAUGGGCGCAAGCCUGAUCCAGCCAUACCGCGUGUGUGAAGAAGGCUUUCGGGUUGUAAAGCACUUUAAGUAAGGAGGAAAAGAUUGUAGUUAAUACCUGCAAUCCGUGACGUUACUUACAGAAUAAGGACCGGCUAAUUCCGUGCCAGCAGCCGCGGUAAUACGGAAGGUCCAAGCGUUAAUCGGAAUUACUGGGCGUAAAGCGCGCGUAGGUGGUUUUUUAAGUUGGAUGUGAAAGCCCUGGGCUCAACCUAGGAACUGCAUCCAAAACUAGAUGACUAGAGUACGAAAGAGGGAAGUAGAAUUCACAGUGUAGCGGUGGAAUGCGUAGAUAUUGUGAAGAAUACCAAUGGCGAAGGCAGCUUCCUGGUUCUGUACUGACACUGAGGUGCGAAAGCGUGGGUAGCGAACAGGAUUAGAUACCCUGGUAGUCCACGCCGUAAACGAUGACAACUAGCUGUUGGGAGACAAAAUCUCUCAGUGGCGCAGCUAACGCUUUAAGUUGUCCGCC